UACGUAGGGUGCAAGCGUUGUCCGGAAUUAUUGGGCGUAAAGAGCUCGUAGGCGGUUUGUCGCGUCUGCUGUGAAAACUCGGGGCUCAACCCCGAGCCUGCAUUCGAUACGGGCAGACUAGAGUUCGGUAGGGGAGACUGGAAUUCCUGGUGUAGCGGUGAAAUGCGCAGAUAUCAGGAGGAACACCGGUGGCGAAGGCGGGUCUCUGGGCCGAUACUGACGCUGAGGAGCGAAAGCGUGGGGAGCGAACAGG
rnacentral:rRNA from 1 species